ACACAUGCGUGAGCACACACAUGUGCACACAUGCCCACACACGUACACACGUACACGCGUGCACAUACACACACAUGCGCACCCAGACCCAUGCACACAUGCACACAUGCACACAGACACACACAUGUACACACAUGUGCACGCACUCACAUGCACACAGAUACCCACACUCACAUGCACACACGCAAACACACACACGCACCUCUCCCCUCAGUUGUGCGCUCAGACAGUGGAGGGGCUCGCCAGGCCUUGCUUUUCGCUUUUUCCUUCAGACUCUGGGCGAUUAAUAUUUUCCAAAAGGCCUAGUGGCCUCCCCAUCCCUUUAUCACUCCUGCACUUGCGGCUGGUUUAAAAACAAUUCCCAACUUCCUUUUACUCUUUCCAGCUGAUCUAACUUUCCAUGCUCAAGGCCAAAUGACACACAAGCCCUCCCUUUUGAGUCACCAGUGACAAGUGUCCCGUGGCUUGGUGCAUGGCGUUGGCUCUCUUUGCAGAGGUGGAAUUGUGCCCCCGUCUUGAAGCCCCCAGUACCUCAAAAUGUGACUAUACUUGGAGAUAGAACCUUUUAAAAGGUCAUGGAAGUAAAAUGAGGUCAUUUGGAUGGGCCCCAGUCCAACAGGACUCAUGUCCUUUAAGAAGAGAUUAGGGCACAGAUACACACAGCAGAAAGACCACGUGAGGACACAGCCACAGUACAGCCACCUCCUAGCCAAAGGACGACCUCAGAAUACACCAGCCCUGCCGACACCUCAAUCCUGGACUUUCAGCCUCCACGACUAUGAGAAGCUCUGAGGCUCACAGAAGAAAUACACAGUUGGUGCCGGUGCAGUGACUCUGGGGCCACCAAAGGGUACAUCAGGCCCCAUCAGAUCUAGCCAGCGACCUGCAGCCCCCGACAAGCCUUCCUGAGCUUCCACCCCGGCUGCAGCCUUCUCCCCAUGUGCCCACGUACUUGGGCUGCUACUGCUGCCUGGGUCUGUCCGCUUGUCAGUCAGUGAAGUUUCCCCAAUCUGUUUAUAUUAGUUAUGCUUAUCAUAAUGGCAUUGUGUAAUUGAGUAUACACAAAAUGAUAAAAUAUGAAUAUGAAAGUGAUUUCUAUGCACACUCAUUAAAUGCCUUGAAAAGACUCAUUAAAGGUGAAUUGCUUUACAAAAUUGCUGUUGAGUUAAGCUUGGUGUGACCGCCAGUCUCCAAGAUGGCCCCAUGCUUCUUAUCUCUUGGAGUUCACACCGUGUGUGGCUCUCUCCCAUGUCGAAUCAAGACCGACUGGGAGACAUAGAAUACCAUGGGAGUGACACUCUGUGUGCUCCAAGGCUGGGUCACAGAAGGCGUUGCAGCCUUUGCUUGGUUCUCUGGGGUCUCUGGCUCUGGACGAAGCUGUCACACCAUGAAGAUGGCUCUUUGGAGGGGCCACAUGGAGAGGAGCUGAAGCCUCCUACCCGCAGCUAGCACCAGCCUCGGGAAUGAGGCAGUUUGGAAGCGGCACCUUCAGCACCAGGCAAUGCUCCUGAGGGCAGCUCCUGCUGACGUCGGCUGCAACCUCAGGGGAACCUUAUAGUCCAGUUGCUCCCACAUCCCUGCCCACAGACAACAUGAGAGAGUGUGAAUGAGGGUCGGUGCUGUAAGUGCUGGGGCGGCGUCGUUGGCUGGGCAGCAAUAGCCAACCAGCACAUCACAGGAAACAGGGGCCUAAGUGGAGUCUGCACCUUGUUGUUUACAAAUGUUUUUAAACUCGCAUUAUAUUAUUUUUUUUUUUGAGACAGGGUUUCACUGUCGCACAGACUGGAGUGAGUGGCACGAUCUUGGCUCACUGCAACCUCUGCCACCUGGGCUCAAGCCAUCCUCCCACCUCAGCCUCCCGAGUACCUAGGACUACAGGUGCAUAGCACCGCACCUGGCUAAUUUUUCUGUAUUGUUAGCAGAGACGGUGUUUCGUCAUGUUGCGCAGCCUGGUCUUGAACUCCUGUGCUCAAGUGAUCCACCCAUCUUGGCCUCCCACAGUGCUGGGAUGACAGAUGUGAGCAACCGUGCUGGCCUCUCAUUAGUUAAGAAGCAGAGGCUCCGAGUCAGGGGUCCCCCGGGCACCACAAUGCCAGAGUCGGUGUGUACUCUAACCACGUGGCCCAGGCCCAGGGAAGGCGUCGCACAGACAUCCGGAUAUGAUGGAUGAAAGUACUUUUGUAUGUUUUAGGUUAAAAAUAAAAAUAUAAGGAUAUAUGUGAACAUU
rnacentral:lncRNA from 10 species